GAAUGGUUUUAUUUUCAUUAAAUUCAUUACAUAUUGGUUGCUAAGAAAAUUUUUACAAACAGUUUCGUUUCCAUGGUGAUGUUGUAGGCGUAGGUGAUGUUUUAAUCAGCAAACUAUAAUAAAUAUUACCUUAUAAAUUCUGGUCUGGGCCCAUAACCUGUUGGAUGGUUACAUUUUGAAGGGAUUGGGUUCUGUAGGUGAUGAGGGGCUAUUUAAAAACACAACUGCUUCAUUAUAAUUAUAUUGCAGAUUGCUUGAACACUUUUACACCAUAAUACAAUUAUUAUCUUCAUAUUUUUUAAUAAAACUAUUACAUGUUUUUCAUGCCGUGUCUAGAUGAG